rnacentral:rRNA from 1 species
GACGUAGGGCGCGAGCGUUGUCCGGAUUUAUUGGGCGUAAAGAGCUCGUAGGCGGUUUGCCGCGUCGACUGUGAAAACCCACAGCUCAACUGUGGGCUUGCAGUCGAUACGGGCAGGCUAGAGUUCGGUAGGGGAGACUGGAAUUCCUGGUGUAGCGGUGAAAUGCGCAGAUAUCAGGAGGAACACCGGUGGCGAAGGCGGGUCUCUGGGCCGAUACUGACGCUUAGGAGCGAAAGCGUGGGGAGCGAACAGG